rnacentral:lncRNA from 7 species
GUGGAGCCAUCAUGGCGUCAAGGCCUCGCUCGACAGAACCCCUUGUUUUUGUUUUAUUAAUUAUCUGUCGCUUCUGGGUGCAGUCGGUCUCAUCUCAGCGCGCCACCGCGGAGGCCGCCGGAGAGCGAGAGCGAACCUGCGGUGGCCUCAGGUGCUCCGGUGGUUGCUUCACUUCACACGCGAGUGCUGGAAGGGAAGCUAAGGAACGCCAGGCAGGCAGGCAGGCAGGCGGCCGCUAGAAUAAAAUUUCGAUGCAGUGCUGGAGCAUUUGAUUAUUUGCUUUCGCCGUAGACUACUACUGGCGUCGUCGCCCAACUACCCGGCGCAGCCGCCAUGAAAUGAGCAGCACGGCAUGGUCGU